rnacentral:rRNA from 1 species
GACGAACGCUGGCGGCGUGCCUAAUACAUGCAAGUCGAACGCUUUUUCUUUCACCGGAGCUUGCUCCACCGAAAGAAAAAGAGUGGCGAACGGGUGAGUAACACGUGGGUAACCUGCCCAUCAGAAGGGGAUAACACUUGGAAACAGGUGCUACUACCGUAUAACACUAUUUUCCGCAUGGAAGAAAGUUGAAAGGCGCUUUUGCGUCACUGAUGGAUGGACCCGCGGUGCAUUAGCUAGUUGGUGAGGUAACGGCUCACCAAGGCAACGAUGCAUAGCCGACCUGAGAGGGUGAUCGGCCACACUGGGACUGAGACACGGCCCAGACUCCUACGGGAGGCAGCAGUAGGGAAUCUUCGGCAAUGGACGAAAGUCUGACCGAGCAACGCCGCGAGAGUGAAGAAGGUUUUCGGAUCGUAAAACUCUGUUGUUAGAGAAGAACAAGGAUGAGAGUAAAACGUUCAUCCCUUGACGGUAUCUAACCAGAAAGCCACGGCUAACUACGUGCCAGCAGCCGCGGUAA